UGGACNGAGGUUCGGAUUCCANAAGUACGGCCGGCCCAGUGGCUGAAUUCGGCUUUAUUAGAUACCCUGGGUAGUCCACGGCGGUAACGGAUGAUCAACAAGGGGUCGGGGGUUANCGGCCCCCCCCGGGGUCGGAGCCAACGCAUUAAGUGAUCCACUUGGGGAGGUACGUUCGCAAAGAAUGAAACUCAAAAGGAAUUGACGGGGACCCGCACAAGCGGUGGGAGCAUGUGGUUUAAUUCGAAGCAACGCGAAGAACCUUACCCGGCCUUGACAUCUUUCUGGAUGUCCGGUAAUGCGGACAGACCUUCGGGGCAGGAGAGACAGGUGGUGCAUGGUUGUCGUCAGCUCGUGUCGUGAGAUGUUGGGUUAAGUCCCGCAACGAGCGCAACCCUUAUCCCCAGUAGCCAGCAGGAGAGCUGGGCACUCUGGGGAGACAGCCGGGGAUAACCCGGAGGAAGGUGGGGAUGACGUCAAAUCAUCAUGCCCCUUAUGGCCGGGGCGACACACGUGCUACAAUGGCGUAAACAAAGGGAAGCGAGCCGGUGACGGUGGGCAAAUCCCAAAAAUAACGUCCCAGUUCGGAUUGUAGUCUGCAACCCGACUACAUGAAGCUGGAAUCGCUAGUAAUCGCGGAUCAGAAUGCCGCGGUGAAUACGUUCCCGGGUCUUGUACACACCGCCCGUCACACCAUGGGAGUCGGAAAUGCCCGAAGUCAGUGACCCAACCGAAAGGAGGGAGCUGCCGAAGGCAGGUCCGGUAACUGGGGUGAAGUCGUAACAAGG
rnacentral:rRNA from 1 species